AAAGCUACAGCCGAAGAGGAGAGGCCCCUACACUGUGAUACUCAGCACGCCAACUGCAGUGAGAGUCCAAGGACUCCCCCACUGGGUCCAUCGCACCAGGGUCAAGCUCACCCCACAAGGGUACUCCUUCCUCCAAAACAUUAACAGCAGGCAACACCCUCAGAGUCCUUGUAUAUAAUAACCUAAACAAAGAAAAACAAUCCUUAAAGGCCCAGUCCCAAGGUGCAAGGCUACUUGUGCCAGCAGCGUGCGCCAGCAAGGUAGCAGAAGCAGGAAGAAAGCCGGCAGGAAGACACGUACCCCUGAAGAUCCAGAAAGAGGCCAUCUGUGUACAACGUAGCAGUAACGUCAGACUAGGACACUUCCUGUUUACAAGAGACUAUAAAACCUCACCUCAGGAUGACGCCAUUUUAGGCCUCAGCCUGCCUGCACCCAGGCGCUCAUUAAAACAGCAUGUUGCUCCACA
rnacentral:lncRNA from 10 species